CCUACGGGAGGCAGCAGGGGGGGAUAUUGCACAAUGGGCGAAAGCCUGAUGCAGCGAUGCCGCGUGGAGGAAGAAGGUCUUCGGAUUGUAAACUCCUGUCUUUAGGGACGAUAAUGACGGUACCUAAGGAGGAAGCUCCGGCUAACUACGUGCCAGCAGCCGCGGUAAU
rnacentral:rRNA from 1 species